rnacentral:rRNA from 1 species
AAUAUUGCGCAAUGGAGGAAACUCUGACGCAGCGACGCCGCGUGAGCGAUGAAGGUCUUCGGAUCGUAAAGCUCUGUCCUUGGGGAAGAAGAUCGAAAGAUUUGACGGUACCCGAGGAGGAAGCCCCGGCUAACUACGUGCCAGCAGCCGCGGUAAUACGUAGGGGGCAAGCGUUGUCCGGAAUUAUUGGGCGUAAAGGGUGCGUAGGCGGCUUUUUAAGUCAGAUGUGAAAGACCACGGCUUAACCGUGGGGUUGCAUUUGAAACUGGUCAUCUUGAGUGUAGAAGAGGAGAGUGGAAUUCCUAGUGUAGCGGUGAAAUGCGUAGAUAUUAGGAGGAACACCAGUGGCGAAGGCGACUCUCUGGUCUAUAACUGACGCUGAGGUGCGAAAGCGUGGGGAGCAAACA